rnacentral:miRNA from 1 species
UGUAGUUUUCGCUGUCGGCCU